rnacentral:rRNA from 1 species
AUUGAACGCUGGCGGCAGGCCUAACACAUGCAAGUCGAGCGGAUGACGGGAGCUUGCUCCUUGAUUCAGCGGCGGACGGGUGAGUAAUGCCUAGGAAUCUGCCUGGUAGUGGGGGACAACGUUUCGAAAGGAACGCUAAUACCGCAUACGUCCUACGGGAGAAAGCAGGGGACCUUCGGGCCUUGCGCUAUCAGAUGAGCCUAGGUCGGAUUAGCUAGUUGGUGGGGUAAUGGCUCACCAAGGCGACGAUCCGUAACUGGUCUGAGAGGAUGAUCAGUCACAUUGGAACGGGGACACGGUCCAGACUCCGACGGGAGGCAGCAGUGGGAAUAUUGGACAAUGGGCGAAAGCCUGAUCCAGCCAUGCCGCGUGUGUGAAGAAGGUCUUCGGAUUGUAAAGCACUUUAAGUUGGGAGGAAGGGCAGUAAGUUAAUACCUUGCUGUUUUGACGUUACCGACAGAAUAAGCACCGGCUAACUCUGUGCCAGCCGCCGCAGUAA